CGGGGAGCACCACAACAGGUGGAGCCUGCGGUUUAAUCGGACUCAACGCCGGGAAAACUCACCAGAUAAGACAGCUGAAUGAUAGUCGGGCUGAAGACUCUACUUGACUAGCUGAGAGGAGGUGCAUGGCCGUCGUCAGUUCGUACUGUGAAGCAUCCUGUUAAGUCAGGCAACGAGCGAGACCCACGCCAACAGUUGCCAGCUCGUCCUCCGGGAUGGUGGGGACACUGUUGGGACCGCCUCUGCUAAAGAGGAGGAAGGAAUGGGCAACGGUAGGUCAGCAUGCCCCGAAUUAUCUGGGCUACACGCGGGCUACAAUGGGUGGGACAAUGGGUAUCGACACCGAAAGGUGAAGGCAAUCUCCUAAACCCAUCCGUAGUUCGGAUUGUGGGCUGCAACUCGCCCACAUGAAGCUGGAAUCUGUAGUAAUCGUGUCUCAAAAUGGCACGGUGAAUAUGUCCCUGCUCCUU
rnacentral:rRNA from 1 species